AAUUAAAAAUAUUGAAGACAUAGAAGAAAUUGAAGAUAUUGAAGAAAUUGAAAAUAUUGAAGACAUAGCAGAUAUUGAAGAAAUUGAAAUAUUGAAGACAGAAGACAUGGAAGAGAUAGAAAACAUAAAAGAUACUUCGCCGAAAAAACGAAAGAUGAAGAGUUUAAUCAACUUGAAUCGUUUGUGUCGCCAAAACGCAUAUUGCUACCCUCUAUUUAACCGACCCCUUCGAGAGACAUUUCCAGCACCGAGCAACGUAAGCUGGCUGUACGUGUAAGGCAUUAGCGUCAUCGUACCAAAUGUCAGGGUUGAAUCGCUGGUAAUAACCCGGUUCUUUAACUAUGCAGAUUCACGAGCACGUACUCGCACACGAGUCGACCCUGCUAUCGACGUCGUUAACGAUCACGUAGAUGGCCCACGAUCUUGAUCCAACAGUGGGGAAACGUAUCGAUCGUAGAUCGACGUUCGAUGCAUCACCACAAGAAAUGUGAAUAGCCCAACGACUUCCACCGUGAGAAACCGCCGGUACGGACACCGACCAUACACUGAAUCGAUAACAGAGACGUUACCUUGACGUUUGGGCUUAUGGACUCCUACGCACCUCUAGGACCACGCUUUACACUCAAGCUGAAGUACCAGGAAGUAAUUGAGAUAAAAAUCUGAAAUUUUCAGGCCUUCUUCCUAUCAUUACGAGUAACAACUCUAGGAAAUUUCGAACUGUUUCGUCAAUUUUUACCGGAGUUACAAAAUAAAAGGUAGGCGAGUGAAAAAUAUUUUGCACAAGUGGCUUCAUAUUUACUUGCCUGAAGUACCAGGAAGUAAUUGAGAUAAAAAUCUGAAAAUUUCAGGCCUUCUUCCUAUCAUUACGAGUAACAACUCUAGGAAAUUUCGAACUGUUUCAUCAAUUUUUACCGGAGUUAUAAAAUAAACGUUGUAUUAAAUGUUGUUAAUACAGGUUUCAUUCGUUGUA